GGACAAAAGGACAAAUAAACCGAACGGGCGGAGAGGGCGCGGGAGGAGUGUGCUCUCCGCUUUUGUUCCGCAAUGAGCUCUAAGAGGUAGACAUGAUUGGGGAAAAG
ensembl:ncRNA F29D11.3 ncRNA